AAUAGAUACCCAGGUAGUCCACGCCGUAAACGAUGAGUGCUAAGUGUUAGGGGGUUUCCGCCCCUUAGUGCUGCAGCUAACGCAUUAAGCACUCCGCCUGGGGAGUACGACCGCAAGGUUGAAACUCAAAGGAAUUGACGGGGGCCCGCACAAGCGGUGGAGCAUGUGGUUUAAUUCGAAGCAACGCGAAGAACCUUACCAGGUCUUGACAUCCCAAUGACCGCUCUAGAGAUAGAGUUUUCCCUUCGGGGACAUUGGUGACAGGUGGUGCAUGGUUGUCGUCAGCUCGUGUCGUGAGAUGUUGGGUUAAGUCCCGCAACGAGCGCAACCCUUAUUCUUAGUUGCCAUCAUUUAGUUGGGCACUCUAAGGAGACUGCCGGUGACAAACCGGAGGAAGGUGGGGAUGACAUCAAAUCAUCAUGCCCCUUAUGACCUGGGCUACACACGUGCUACAAUGGACGGUACAAAGAGCUGCGAGCCCGCGAGGGUAAGCCAAUCUCAUAAAACCGUUCUCAGUUCGGAUUGUAGU
rnacentral:rRNA from 1 species